GUACAGGGCAUGACACAUCAUGGUGGGGCUUGCAAAAUACACUUUGUAUAGAUUAAAUGAUGACUGUGGGCAUGACUGUAUGACCUGAUUUGACUAUGGAGUACAAGAACUAUCAUGGUUCCCCUUCUAGACAAUAAAAAUGGAAGUGAAUUUUAUAAACAUUGAAUAGUCACAAGCAGAAGGCGCUCAAGAUAGCAACAGUGGUUAGAAGGGUUGGUACAAAGCAUAAGAUGCUAUGAUGAGAUGCUAUGCUCUCUAGUGGAAGAGCAAAGAUUAGACACAAUCUCACUGCUGCAAACAGACAUCACAUAUUACAAUAGUUUUAUCUAGUGAUUUUCUUUAUUGAAAAAAAAUAGCUAGACAAAAAGGCAAAACAAAACAAUCACACAACCCAGACACCAUCUUCUAUCUUCCAAUUAGCAGUCUCAUUUACCUGAUUACUCUUGUUUACAGAUUUGACUCCCUUCUUAUCUCUUCACCCACUCCCCUCUCCACCCUGACUUUCUAUACUAUUCUUUCCUCAUUCAUUCAAAGAUCAUUUCCUAGGACCUAUCAUCUCUGACCACAUUGCUAUCAUAGUGGCAUUUUGGAUGCCUCAGUUGGAAAUAGUCUCCUUCAUUUCUUUCUUUCUUUCUUUCUUUCUUUCUUUCUUUCUUUCUUUUUUUUUUUUUUAGAAUAGGCCACCAUGAACUAGAUCAGGAAGGGCUUUGCAUGGUAAACUAAGGAUAUCUUUUAUCCUCCUGAAAACUGACAAAAUCUCUAGAAUGACCUUAAGUUAAAAAGUGACACAUGUCUGUUUCUGUUUUAGAAAAACCCUUUGAAAAGAUUCAGCACGUUGCCAUGGAGAACAUCCCACUGAAGGAAUGUAUAGAAGUAGCAGGGUUAACUGAGUGCCUUCCAUCUUCCCUCCAAGGGAUCUGCAAUGAGAUGGGAGAAGGCAACAGGCUGUGUGGGAACCACUGAAGCUGGGAUGGCAGGGAAAGAACAUCUUAGGCUAACUCUUCAAGCCUUGCUGUCACAUUUGCUUUUGAGUCUAUGGUGUCAGCUGCCUACCAGUUGCUUUCAUCUCUAGAAAUCUGUGACUUGCAGUAUGACAAGAACAAAAGGUGACAAUACAAAGGACAAAGGGCAAGGAAUACAGACGGAGAAGCCGCUUAGAGUCUAGGAUGGCAGAGGUUCUCUUGAUCAUUUCAUUUUUGAGCGCUUGUAGAGCUUUGGUGUACCAGAGGUGCUUGAACAGCUUACCACACCACAGAUGAAUGGCCUUUGGAUUUCUCCUAAGAAAAUGUGGCUACCUGAAAUUCAACUCCAUUUUCUGGUCUUCAAUAUUUCUUUUGUGUUCAGUUUGCCAGCUGAGGAGAAGUGGCUAAGCAUAGCCUGUUACUGAUGCUAAAGCCCAAGUUCUGAACCUAACAACUCCAGCAACAUGAUCCUGUUUCAAGAGACAAAAAAGUGACUAAUGAAAGAAAACAAUUGAUGUGCUAUGUAGAGUUUAAAAGAAGGUAAAGAGAAUAAAUUAAAAGCAACAACUCUC
rnacentral:lncRNA from 1 species